GGCUAUAGCUCAGUUAGUAGAGUGCUUGCCUCACAUAUAGAAGGUCCUGGGUUCAAUCCCCAGCACCA
rnacentral:tRNA from 1 species